GGGGAGAUAAGGUUGGGCCCAAUAACUGUUAGGUGAGGAUCCCAAUGAUGGCUUCACUCAUGCUCAAUGGUGGGUCUGAUUUAACUAAAGAAUGAGAUCAAUAACUGUCAGAUGAGAUUUCAGGACCUAGAGAUCAAAUCCACCGUAAUUUACUUAAGAAGUAUUGGACAAAAGUUGUCUAUCUAUUAGUUGAUACAUUUGUCAAUAACUGUCAGGUGAGGUAGCAUGCC
rnacentral:lncRNA from 1 species